rnacentral:lncRNA from 1 species
AAAAUGUUUUGUGAAAAACAAAUGCUUUGUGGUACUAGCUUCUCUAACUUGAAGUGCUUUAUCACAUGUUUAUUAAUACUGUCUUUGAAUGAAGCAUAUCGAUCUGAUCAAUUUGAUCAGUUAACCAUAAUUAUUGUUUAACGUUAAAGUCUUUUUCCCUGUAAAAGGGUAGGUCUAAGUAUCACAUUCAUUGUAUAGCAAAGUAUUUACCUUCCAUUCAUGGGCAUACAAAGCAAAUUGUGAGACUCUAUUGUAUAACUAUCUCUUUUAUUAAAGCUUUGCUGCCAUCUUCCCUCAUCUCUGUUGAUUGCUACAUAGAUCUAAUAUACCUUUUCUAAAAUUUUGCAGGUCAUAUCCUUUCGACAAAGGCACUAAUUCAUCUUAUUGAUAUCAUUUUACUUGAUGAUAUAUGCAUGCAAUGUUCAGUUCCUCUGUUGUGCAUCUAUGUUAAAAUGCACAGAUCUCUUUGGUGGCAUCUUUCUCUCUAUUCACUUCAUUUGUACACUUUUUAUUUUGCAUGCAUAAUUUCGCCAUAAGUUGAACCUUGACAUUAUCUACAUGUGCUUGUAUGUAUAAGGCGGGAAGUAAAAUGUUUUAUUGAUCUCACUGCUGAUGUGGUUUGUGACUUAUGGCCUACUGCCAAGGAAGUCGGUGGUUGUCUUGAGCGUCAUCAUGAAGCAUCUUCACUGACAUUUGCUAUUCAAGUAAGAUUAUUAGAAUUUAUUUUGGUCACUGUUUUAUGUUAUGUAAUUUCACUAUAUCUAAUUAAUGAAUGAUUCAAUUAUUGCUACCUGCCUUUAUUUUUUUGUAGAAUAAUCUCAAGAAUAUAGUGCUGUGUGGAUAAUCUCUUCACUGGUUGAUUUAAUCUGUCUUUGGUUGAAGAUCCCAAUGAUUAACCUGUUUUGAGUAGCUGUGCAUAGGUGAUCAAGUUCUGGCAUGCUUAGCUUGAUUACCAUGUCAGCAACCCGAUUUGACCUUUUUGAAUGAUAUGGUUAUGGUUAAUUCAUCAACCACUACAUGAUUGUUUCAUUACUUCUAGUUGGAUUGUCGAAUGGUUCAAUUCUAUUUAAGUUCAGGUUCUUAUAUUUGAAACUGAUGUGCUUGUUGGUAGGGUUGAAUGGGUUGAUCUGUGGUAUCUUAAACUUUUGAACCUGGUGAACCCUAUCCCACCAAUUUCAUUCUGAGCUUGAGAGUCCGGUUCAUGGGUCAUGUUACUGUUUAGCAUCGAGUCAAAAGUUGCUCUUGGCCUCAGCACCUGUCUUGUACGAAGAACAAGAUUGCAAUGGAACCCUCAGCAUCUUAGAGAAAAGUACCUUCAAUUAGCCUUGCUGAAGACUGACCUGUCUUUGUGAAAUGCAUGAGGCAUUGAAAUUUGAGUUUUUCAUAUGACAAAUAACUUAGUUGUCUGUCAAAUUUAUUCUUGUUUGCGUCCUUUUGGAAUUGCCAUUAAGGUAUGUACUGGCAAUGCCCCCUUUGAUUCAUGUUCCUCUGCUGUCUUGCUAUGUAGGAAGUCUUUAACUGUUAAUUUGACUCGAAUCGCUUAGGUGUCUUGAUAUGUAUGAACCAUUGAAUUAUGUUUGGUACAUAAAAAAGGGAAUGUUCCAUAUAGCUGAUAUAGAGAUGACAUUAUUUGAUGUUCCAUAUAACUGACGAUAAUCUAUGGUUGGCGUUUGUAUUCCCUUGCUAAGUUCCAAGGCAUCCUUUUGUUGACUAUCCAGGAUGAACCUCAGGCUGGGCAGACAGUUCCUCAUGUGCACAUUUUCAUUCUACCUAGGAAAAAGGGAGAUUUCGAGAAAAAUGAUGAGAUCCAUUAUGCCGUAAGUGAUAGUCUUAUUUUAAUAUGAAAAGAUUAUUUCAGUGAAUGUUGUACUAAAUUAUCUUCUUAUUGGUCUGCUAUUAGAUUGAUUUGAAAGAGAAGGAACUCAAGGAGAAGCUCGACUUGGACAGAGAAAGGAGGGACAGAACACCAGAGGAAAUGGACCUAGAGGCCGAUGAGUAUCGAGCUCUAUUCUCAUAGAUAAUGUACCUACCAUGUUCAAUCUUCUACACUACAAUGCAUAUAAAACAUUGAGUCAGGCUGACUGCUGCUUUGAGCUUAAGAAUUCUCUAGUGUUUAUUCCUUUUGUGAUUCGCAUGGUUGUUUGCUGCUUUCAAUUGUCCAUGCUACUCCCUCUGCAUGAUGGAUCUCAUCUUCACCGACUUCUGAAAAAUCAAUGAAGGUAUUUCAUAUUUUUUUUGUCUAGCAUCGCUAUAUAAAGAAUUUGUCUUUUCCAUGGAUAUAGGUAGGGAUUUGACUUACUUUUACGUUGGUUAUUUUUUAUGCUUUUGGUUGUUGAUCUCUAUAUAUUUUGAUUUUGAAAGUUUUCUUUUCCUUCUUUGCAAGUGGUAUCAGAGUCCAAAAACCUAGUGGUCAAAAAUUCAAGAAGCAUAAGUGAAGGAGAAUGAAGUAAAAAUAUCCCUUGAUAAAAUACUCAUCAAAGGAGAGAGAGAUUGUUCAAAUUAACAAGUAUUUUGAGAUUUCUAAAAUUAGUAUUCAGGUAGUAUAAUGAAUCAUAGUAUAAAAAGGUGUUAUCAUGAGAAAAAAAAUCUUGAUAAGUAGGGUUUGAUUUUUCUAUAAAUAUCUCAUGUAUUUUUAGGUUUUGAUGGGGGAAAGACAAGAUGUGAGAAAUAUUUUUGGUAUUCCUAGACACAAAAAAAUUUAUGUUUCAGUGGGGAUAACAUAAGGUCUUAUAAUUGAAGAUGAAAAUUUUAAGUUUUUUUAAAAAAUAUAGAUAAAAAUGUAUAUAAUCAUAUGAAUCUUAAAUUAUUUUUUUAAUAUUUUUUAUUGUUCAUCUCUUUAGAUUUUUUAUUUUUAUUUUAAAAAUCUUCUCUCCCUCCCAAAAUAAAAAAAAUUUGGAUCAUCAAUUCUUUUAACCAUCCCUUCAAUCUUUUGUCCCCUGCAUCAUCGAUUGUUGAUUGUUCAUUAUUAUUAUAUUUUAUUCUCCCACUUUUAUUCUUAUAUUUUUUAAGUUUUUAUGUUUGAUUUUUUAUCAUCAUUUAUGAAGUCAUUUUAUUUUAGCAUAUUUUCAUUCUUUUAUCAUCUUACAUGAGACAUUGUCAGCCCGUUUUUCUAUCAUCCAACUCAUGUUCAUCGGAGCUCUCUGUAGCUUUCUCAUAAUAGAUUUUUGUUGUCUGAUUUAGAAUCAAUUGAAGUGUAUUUCAAAAUUCAACACAGGUUGAGAUGUUAGUGUUUGGGUGAUUCAAGCUGAAACCUUAAUCUACGUAGGGAUAUACCCGAUAAAAAGCCUCUGUAAUGCUUAACUUAGUGUGGAUUCAAAGAAUUUUAAUGGAAAAGAUGAUUAAUAAAAGUAAGAGCCUCUCAAUGAACAUAAUUGACCAUUAUAUAGAAAUCAUGACAAAUGUGAGAGAAGAGUUGCUUAAAUCGAAUCGAAAAGCUGAAUUGAACCGAAACCGAACGUGAACCAAAUCGGUUCGAUCCAAAUCGAUUCAUCAAUGAUUUGGUUCAGGUAGCUUCUUUGGUUGGGUUAAUCGAUUCAAACUGAAUUGAAUCGAUUUUAAUUAUACAUAUAUAUAUAUAUAUAUAUAUAUUAUAAAUUUGAAAUAUAUAUAUAUUAUAAAUUAUUUGAAUAUAUAUAUAUAUAUAUAUUAUAAAUUAUUUAAAAUUAGAAAUUAGUUAACCGGUUAGUCAAACAUGAUGAAUCGGUUUCGAAUCAAUUCGAUUAGGUAAUUCUGAAAAAAUGAUUCAAUUUAAUUCGAUUUUAGUUCAAAUCAAUUUAAAUACAUGCAUCAUUCGACUGUCAAUGAUUCAUUAAUUGAAUCUGUGGACGUCGAGUGACAAAUCCAUGGUACCAAACUAAGGCGUCACAUGACUAAUCAUUCCUAUAGGACUUAAGUAAAGUUGAUGUUGGCCGAACGAGAGUAGCGUAUCGAGAGUUCCAUACAUGCCAUGCCCACAUACUAAUUUUACAUCAAAAAAAUAUUUUCAAAUAAUGUAUUCUUUUUAUUAUAUAAAUAAAAUGCAUGUAUGUAUAGAAUUGUUUUAGUGACACUCUACAGAACACGUAAUCCCAGUGAAUCAGUAGGAUCCACGUUUGGUCCCAUUUGGUAACUAUGUUGCAGGUGAGUUGAACCAGAGUCAUUUUAGGGGGGCCCCAAUCUCCUCAAGAUUUGGUGAUGCCGCUCCUAUCAAUUUUGUAAUGCAACAUUCGAUUUAAGCUGCAGCAGAACCCAACUGAAACAACAAACAACGACGACGGUUUAAUUCCCUCACUGUAUCUAUUCAUAUACCAUACACACUAAAUUAAGCCACCAGAUGACAUGAUAUCGUUGUCGGUGUUCGAUUUUGGGAGGGUUUUGGACAAAGCAAAACGAGUGUGGAGGGUUUUGGACAACGGAAGCCGAGGCAUGGAUGCGAUCGCCGAGAGGAGGAGAGAGGAGGGCGGGGGAUUGUACGAGUAAGGAAAGGAGGCGACCAGAUGAGCAAUUCGGGCGUCUGAUAUACCUACCUUCUCUCAUUUUUCUUCUUCGAAUGGCGACGCGCAAUCCUUUCCCGGACGGGAAAACCGUGUUUUUGACGAUCUAUGCUGCGGUUGUUGCCAGCGUCGUAUUUUCUGCUCUUGUCAUUCUCUCCUCCUUCUACACCUCACCCGCUGCCGGCGUCGGCGACGGAGUAACGUCGCUCUUCUCGUUGUCUUCUCCUCCCUCAACAUCUCCUCCUCCUCCAUCGCCGAUAGGUAACUGGUCAAAUACUUCUUCUUUUUCUUCUUCAAUCAGCGCGUUCUUGUUUUUUCGAUGCUGUCUUUAUGUGUGUAUCUUUGUUACGCAAUAUAAGGAUAGUCUUGAUUCUGCUCAUAGCUUUUCUUCUUUUUAUGGUUCAUUGCUCCUCGAUUCCCAAGUGCGCAGAUCUGUUUUGUCCCUCUUCGUAUCAUGCUUUGAGCACCAAUUUGUUCGUCUCUCGGUCUAAGUUUGGUGAUAUGACGGCUUAGGAAUGUUACUAAAGAGUCUCUUCAACAUGCUGAAUUGGCAAAGAAGAAAAUAAAUAUAUGGUCUAGUAAAUGAAUCAAAAAUCACAAAAACUUUGCCUUCACUACUGGCUACAAUUCUAGUUCCAACUGAAGAUGAAAGUCUGCAGGGCACGUAAAAUGUGAGGAAACGGUCGUUUAGUUACUUCUACCGUUUCUGUAACAAAUACUCUUGAAAUACAAGCAUAGAUUUCUGCGAACCCAUGAAUGGAUCUUCAGUGGCUUGAUUGACUAUGUGCUCAAUAAGAAAUCACGUCCCCUGAAAUGUCCCUGUUGUUGCUAAGCAUCACUCUAAAGAGUGAAUGUUCUACAGUUGCCAAUUUUUUGCUUAUUCAAUGGGUUUCAGAUGCUCUUAUGAUCAAGAUAUGUUGUUAAUUUACAAUGAAAAGCACUUGAUUAAAUUAGUACAAAAUUAAUAAUUUCUGCUACCUCUACUUUGAUUGUCACCAUUCUAUUGAAGCUGUUUUGUUGUCAAAAGAAAGGCUGAAGAGGAGCUAUGCUGUAAUUAGAUGUUAGGCUCUUAUUAGAUUUGUUGUAGCAUACUAAUUUUGAAUUAUUAUGCCUUUUCAGUAGCAAUCUGAGUAAACCAAAGAAAGUUUUUUUUUUUUGACAGUAACUAGAACACCUAAGCUGCAAAGAGAGCCUUCNNNNNNNNNNNNNNNNNNNNNNNNNNNNNNNNNNNNNNNNNNNNNNNNNNNNNNNNNNNNNNNNNNNNNNNNNNNNNNNNNNNNNNNNNNNNNNNNNNNNNNNNNNNNNNNNNNNNNNNNNNNNNNNNNNNNNNNNNNNNNNNNNNNNUAUGUGUUUUUGUUUGGAACAGAAUCCACUUCCAUAUUUUGCUCGUUUUCCUGAGGCAGAUUUGUUAACAUCAACCGAUCAUCUUAGACCAACAACAACUGAUGACAGUUUGGAAGUCUGGCAUAAUGGUAUUUUCUACUAAUGUCAAUGAAUCUUGGUAAUAAGUAAUAACCACACUAGCUGGUACAGAUAUAUUAAACAUUCUUGAAUUUUUUUUAAUAUGCCAAGUUGUACUGAUAUAAUAAGAUUGUGGUAUAGGUACCGUUACUUGUAUUAGUAUCUAAAAUGUUGGACCUUAUCACAUACAAAAUUUUUGACCCAGAAUCUUAUUUCCUGUAGCAAAUAUAACCUAAAAAAAUUACUCAGUAGGUCCUAUAUAGUUGAGUGAAUCUUAGUAUUAUCUAAUAUAUCAUCUGAGUUACUUUUUUAGUUGUUAGUGAUAAAGUUUAUUCAAAGAUAUCAAACAAUGUUGCUGAUGUCAGGUUCUAUGAAGGAGCCUAUAAACUAGACUGUAGAAAACUUAGUGUUUAAGUUUGCAUAUGUCCACAUGGCUGACACAUGUUGUAGUGAAAUGACACUUGUUUUGGUGCCAUGCAAAGUGCAAGCGAAAACAUAGUAAGGCUAAUACAGAGCAUCUGCACUUUCGUUUCUUUCCUUAACCCUUUCUUAAGGUUCUUUAAAGUUUUCUUUCAUCAAAAUUUGACUUUGAUAGUUCGAGGAUCAUUAACUAUUAUUUUUCCCUUCUAUUGUUUGUAGUAACUACUGCCUACAAUAUUGGAAUGUUUCACUGGCGUCCCACUGAUUCUGCGAAGAGGCUAGCUAAGGAGUGGAAAGAUUUACUUCUUGGUGAUGAAGAGAAAUGGGACCAGGCUGUCUUUAAUGAUCUUGUCCGCCAUGUUUUAGGACCAUCACUUAAAGGAGAAAGUGGACUUUUUUAUGCUUAUGAUGGGACUCUUAAGGUCGGUCUUUUGCCAGCAAGUAUAUUUUGCAGUGGGCAUACAUACUUUAUCCAGGUAGUUCUUUUCGAUUGUCUUUGUAGCUGUUAAUUCAUUUGCUCAUCCAACUAUGGUUAUUGUAAAGUUUGCGGUAUGUUAUUCUAUGUUUUUAACCAUAUAAUAUAAAUCCUAAGCAACAAUUCUUUUUCUUCUAAUUAUUCUUGGAGCUGUUAUCCUGAUAAAUGGAGAAAAAGUUUUUAGUACCAAUUUAUAAAAACAAGGGUGAUAUAUAAAAUUGUUCAAAUUAUAAAGGAGUUCAAAUCAUGAGCAAUAUUAUGAAACUUUGGAAAAGAGUUAUUGAAAGUAGGAUAUGGUUUGAAACAAAUAUCUCUGAAAAUCAAUUUUGUUUUAUACUUGAAAGAUCAAUCAUAGAAGUUAUUUAUUUAUUAAGAUAAUUAAUGAAAAAGUAUAGGGAGAAAAAAAAAGAUUUGCACAUGAAUUUUAUUGACUCAGAGAAAACCUAUGACAGGGUUUCUAAAGAUAAUUAUAUUGAUGUUAUUAAAGAUAUAUAUGAUAAUAUAGUUAUUAGUGUCAAAACUAUAGGAAGAGUGUCUAGUGAGUUUCCUAUUAGUAUAGGAUUACUUCAAGGAUCUGGUUCAAGUCUUUAUUUUUUCACAUUGAUAAUCGAAGAAUUGACUAGUCGUCUAUCUGAUAGACCUCCAUGAUAUAUAUUAUUUGCUGAUGAUAUUAUCUUAAUUGAUGAGAGCUUAAGUGAAAUUAAUUAUAAGCUUGAGUUGUGGAGGCAAACUUUAGAAUAUAAAGGUUUUAGAUUAUUUAGGACCAAAACUGAAUAUAUAAAAUAUAAUUUUAGUGUUUUGAGAAAUAGAUAAUAGAAUAUAAUUAAAUUGGAUGGACUAGAAUUCCCUCUAAGCAAAAUCUUUAGGUAUCUUAGAUCAAUUAUUUAAUAAGAUGGAUAGAUUGAUGAAGAUAUUAUUUAUAAAGGAAAAACAGAAUGACUAAAAUGGUGAGGGGCAUCAGGAGUCUUAUGUGAUUAUCGGAUACCUUACCAUUAAAAGAAAAAUUUUCUAAGAUAGUUGUGAGACCCACAAUGCUUUAUAGAUAUGAGUAUUGUUGGGAAAUCUUGGGGGCGACAUCACAUGCGCAGCGGAAUAAUAAGAAAACAAAAUCCCCUAUUCCUAAAGAGAUGUUCGUUGUCGUGCGAAGAUUGGUACGUAAAAUCCGUGAAACUUAAAACUGCGUAUAGAGUAGAUUGUGUUACCUAGGGAGAUCGUAUAUCCCUGUUUCCUUGCAGAUCUUUAGGAGAGGGUGAAGGAGGUCAAGCGUCCUCUUCUCUAGCGGUGAUCCACACAGCAGGGCUGUGACUACGCUCCUCAAAACUCCAAGCCUGCUCUAAGGUGGAGAGGGGGAGGAGAAUAGGAGAGGCAAGCAAAGGCUCUAGCUUAUGAGGCUCUUAAUCCCUCCUAUUUAUAGAAGACCCCUGUCAAAACCUAAUGGAUCCUCCCCUAGUGGGUAUUCGAUAUGCAUCCAAUUACCUAAGCCUUUUAGAUUAGUGGAUCUCUAUCCAAUAAUCUCUCAUGGGCUCUUAUUGGAUCUCGUCCAUGGGAUCUAAUAAUUCAGGGGCUUAUUGGAUAUCCAAUAAGACAAGGGCUCCGGCGGAUAUCUCAUAUCCGAACCUCUACUCAUCGCAAUGCCUACCAUAUGUGUGUGACCCUCUAGGCCCAAUAUCGAGCUAGCCAUGAGUCAUACCUGUCAGAACUCCUUUUAACUUAGUGAAUUAUUAUCUCUGUAAUAAUUCACUCGACUCAUCGAUUACGGACGUACUAGGCCACUAUGCCGUAGUCCCCAGACGAUACAGGGGAAUCCAAUCCAUUGGACCUGUCUAUCCUCAGUUAUCGUGUACAUAUAGUCCAUCAUCCAUCUAAUAUCCCAGAGACCGUAUAUCGAGCAUGGUGUUGUCAGACCUAUACGAUUUCUACUCGAGUCUCGCUCUAAUCGGAUUCUCCCGGAGAACUCUUUUUCUCUCAACCCUAAUGACCUUGGCCAGGGAUUUGUUUGAGCAAGAACACAUGGGAUAUUCCUCUCAUGACGCCGAGAGUGGAUGAUCCUCUAUCGACACUCAAUAGCCAUCGUAAGGUCGACUACCACUCCCAAUGACCAACUGUACUAGAUCUGGGACAUCCAAACCUAUAAGUCUGGUAUCAAAGAGUGGAGCACUCAUACAGGACAUUCUUAAUGUCUCAAGUCUAAGGACCAGAUACACCACUAGGACUACGAAAUUGUUGUCUAACAAUAAGGCAUCAUCAACCAUCCAACAUUCCAUAAGCGGAUCAAUCAGUGAACUCAUUCUCCAAUGAGCACCUGUACUGUAUCCCUAGUGUCCCCACACGAGCAGUUAUGAGAUCAGCUACAUCCAUCAUAUAGACGGGUAUAUAGCACACCAGUUUGUCCGGUUAUCACGAUGUCCCUCUCGAGUAACCUAUGACCGGGAUUAUUUAGGAUAUGUGUUUAAAGGUGAAUAGAUCUCAUUAUUGUGAUCUCAUCACGAUCCGAUUCCCAUUGCACGGAUCCAAGGACAUCACAAUAUAUACAUGCAUAUAUGCAAUAAUCAAUAUAAGGUGAUAAAUGUCAAAAUAUAAUAAGUAAAAAGAUUCCGUAUCAAAUCACACGUGCCAUCACUCACGUGAUUGGCUUGCUAGACACCUAUAACUAGCAAGUAUUAGGCAGUCAAGAAUGUUGAGAUGGAUGUGUGGAGUUACUAGAAAAUAUAGAAAAAAAUAUUUUUAUUCGUGAAUAACUAUGUAUUAAAAAUGUUUGUCAAAGGAUAAGAUGAAAGAAAAUCCUUUAAAAUGAUGUGAGCAUAUACUUAAUAGACGUUUGGAUAUGGUUGUCAAAAGAGAUAAAAUAAUUAAUAUUAGUGGUGCAAGGAUUUUUAUAUAUAAAUUUUUACAGACCUCAAUGACAACAAAAGAUUCAUGUAGCUGACCCCAAAUAGUUGGGACUUACAGCUUUAUUGUUAUUGUUGUUCUUGGAGCUGUUAGUUUAUUGUUGCUCAUCUAACUAUGGUUAUUGUAUAGUUUGUUGUAUGGUAUUCUCUCUCUUUAAACCAAAUAAAUGUGAAUGACCAUGCAACAAUUCUUUUAAAUGAACUGGCAGGCAAUGCCCCAGCAACUCAAACUGGAACCAUAUGCUGUGCAUACUACCUUCCAGUUUUCAGGUUCUGAUGGAAAGCGCCAUAGGUUACGUGAGGCUAUGCUUUUCUAUGACCAACCUGCAUAUUACGAUACACCAGGUAUUCUUUCUUCUCAUCUCAUCUGGUAAAAUUCAACUUUUUCCUACUAAGCUAAAUGUCUUUGCUGGUUGACAACUUUUUUUUUUUGUACUUGACUUUUACUGCACAAUUCAAAAGUGAGUUGUAAUAUUGAUAGGUAAUAAGUGAAAAAUAUUUCCCCAAAUACUGAAAACCAGUACUAGUGCUAUGUGAUUUUUGAGAUGCUAGGCUGUGUUGAGUGCUUUAAUUUUUGAGAAAUUAUCUAUUGAAGAGCUUCCAUAAGCUAUAGAUUCAUGUGGAGUAUGCAAGGAAUAAAAUACCGUGUAUCGGACCCCACCAGUCCAAGUCUCGAUCUGACUUGGUUUGGUUUGUACCAGCAUACAGGGCCUAGACUAGUAUGACUCUUGUUGUAUCAGUGUAUCAAUACAUGUUAUGUUGGCGUGUACCAUGAUACUAGAAAAGUACUAAAAAAAUUGAGAAAAAUAAAAGAAAUCUUAAUUUAGGGUUCUUUCUCACAUAUAAAUGAGCCUAGUAUAAUCAAUAUUGAUAACAAUAAAGUGAUCUUAAUAUAGAAUACAAUAAAAAAACCAAAUCGAAACAUAUAUCAAAUAAAAAUUGAAAGUAGUAUAUAAAGAAUACAUAUACCGAGAAGGUGAGAAAGAAAUUCUAACUAACAUGCAAACACAAUAAUUAGAUGUAAAAUGCCAAAAGUAUAUACCUGUACCUACCACAAAUAUGCCAAAAAUUUAUGAGAUUCAUGUAUAUGGACGGUGUUCAUUUUGGAAAGUUCAGUAAUACCCAAUCUUUGGUAUGACUGUAUUUAGUUGAGGUCUGGAGCAAGAACUAGAGCAUCACAAUCAACAAAAUGAUGGUAGAAAAUUCAGCAAACCCUACACAUCCCAGAGUCUAGUGUCUAUCUCAUCAGGCUUGCUUGCUCGGUUGCUGGAUUCUUAUGUUUAAUUCUUCCAAAAACUAUGUUAUGUUGUCUUGCUUGUUAUCCUUCUGACUCGGUUUGUGUCUUUGCAGGAGGUUUCUUAUCAUUCAAACCUGGUAUUCCUAAGAGUUUGUUGCUGGAUGGGCCACAUACCGUACAAUCACACUUCUCAUUGGUUAAUUACCAGGUAAGAUAAUGUUAUAAAAUGUUUGCAUUUCUUAUUGAGAUUUGGAGAGAUGUCCAAGGAAUUAACUGGUCAAGUGACAUUCUUAUUUGCAUGUUUCAGUUGAGGCAGAUAAGAACUGCACUUGCUGUUGCUUCUCUGUUGAACCGAACACUGGUGAGUGAGGUUUCACCAAUUAAAAAAUUAAACUUGAUCUGCUGAGAUUUUGUAAAAGAUAUCUUAUAUGCAUAGUUUAAACUUUAAAGGGAUCUUUUUCCUUGAUAUUCUGGUAAGGUUAUUUUUGAAUUAAAUAGCUUCAGAAGAUAGGAUCUUUCGAAGAUCCCUUCUCUUUUCACAAAUUGUGCACUUUUGAAAACAAUGUAUGUACUUGUCGGCAAAACUUUUUGUCCAUGCAGAUGCUAAUAAACAUUUCAUUAAAGUGUGCAAUUAAUUUAUCAUCUAAUCAAAUUCCAAAUGGCCAUUGAGCUGAGAACCAUUUACUUCUCAAAAUCCUUAUUUUUAAGGAGCUUAUUAUUCAUUAGUUGUUGCUUGAGAAUUGUAAUGUUAAUGGGUGUUGCUUUAACGAAAAUUCAUGGAGUAUCAAAUAAUUGAUUUUUGUGUCUAAUUUUUUAGAUUCUGAUUCCAUCAUAGAAUAAUGAUGGAAGGUCAACUUUGUUCUCAUCACACAACGAGCGUAGUCUUCUGUAGUAUGCAAUAUGAGGCUUGUUAUACAUUAGCAACAUAAAACACACAGAAUUGACACAUUAACAGUUGACAGGACAUUGUUGUGAAAUUAUUAUUCAACGAGCUUGACUGCUGUGGUUGCAAUAAUUCUGACUCAUAUUCCUUGUCUAUGUUUAGGUAAUGCCUCGAUUAUGGUGCAGGUUUGAAAGAUUGUGGUCUGGACAUCUUGGAAUUUUGAAAGGGACACUGACCACGCAACCUUUUGUAUGCCCUAUGGACCACUUGUUUGAGGUAAUUAUAUUUGUUAGAUUAGUGUGUAUAUUGUGCACUCUCUUGCUAGUUUCCUAACACAUUAUCCAUGGAUGGGCAUUUUCCUUCAUUAUCUUUUCUUGUCAUUUACUUGCUAACUUGGAUCAUAAAAUUAUGGGUUUUAUUUGCUCUUUUCCAUUAAGUUCAAAAUUCCAAAGGAUCAGCAAAAUGGUAGGUCGUUUGGGAUGAACCUUAUCUUUGUAUGAAAGCUCGCCCUCAAAUAGCACAUAUACCCGGACUUUAACUAUGAGGAAAAAGUAUUAGCAUGAGUUGUGUGCUUACAAAUAGAUCAAAGUCUUGCAUCUUCAAUUUUAAGAUGAUUGUUUAGAUGGUCUGAAUUAUUUUAUCUUGUUGCUCUUGGCUUACUUGAAUUAUUUGUACCUGCACAUUCUCCAUUAUACUGCAUUGAUAUGGUUAUUAAAAUUCUCAGAACAUUUUGGGAUCUUCCUGCUCAUUCAUGAUGUAUGGAAUCAGAUGUUCCCUGCUGAUGAAUCACUAUGGUUUGGGGGAAUAGACUAAUUUCCGUUUAGCUAGUUUUCAAAGUUUAUGGAUAUAUGCUUUUAGCCUUUAAUCCUGUAAACUUAAUUUCCAUAGUGUUCCAUUUUGCAACUUGCCAUGCACAGUUUUAUCUAGGAAUUCCAAUGAUCUUAAACAAGGUUUUCAAUUUUGGGUAUUGGGCCCAUGCUAGUCUAUGGACAGAUGGUACAAGUCUGGUCUGUUCCAAUGUAUCGCCACAUGGAAUGCCAUUCUGUUGGGGGAGGUGGGGAAGGAGGGGGAGGAGGAAGGAAGUGGUAGGGAGCAUGGUUCGUCAUACCGUGACGUACUGUCCGAUAUGGGCGGUACACUAGUCUGAUAGAGGACCGGUAUAGGUGGUAUAUACCGGUCUAUCAAUAUGUCCCAUCGUAUCGUGUAUCGAUACUUUGAUAUAUACCGUAUCGAUGGCCAAUUGAUACAUCGGUACAGACCGAUAAGACGAACCAUACUAGGGAGAAUAAGAAAGAAGAGGAUGUCAAAGGAAGAGGAAGUCCAUUGAAGAGGAGGAGACAUCAAAGAUGAGAUGGGUGGUAGGGCAAUUGAGCGACAGACAGCAGAGAACAAGAAUUGUCCUAUCUUGACUAUUUGGUGAAUCACUCAAGCAAAUUAAAAUUUUCUACUCGAAGUUUUUGAAAUUAAGUCUAUCAGACUAUCAAACAUGGUUCUUUCCUUGGUUGUCAUAUUUCUUACUUUUGAGAGUUGAAACAAUAUGUAUUCGUGAUACCAAAUAUGACCUUGGCAACAUUAGAUGAGAAGAUCAAGUAUGUUUGAUUAUCAUCAACAUGUCCGAUAGACAAGAGCUUUAGUCUCCUUAAUUCAUGUUUUCUGUAAGUGGACAUUGAAAUGAGUGCUCGCAGAGUAGGAGGAUGGUGUUGAGAGAGAAAAGACAAAUAAUAAUUACUUAAGGUCAGAAUAUGAUAGUGGUAAUAUUGUUUAAUGUGGCUUCUAUCAGUUUAAAUAUAACUUAGAUUAGAGAGGGGCAAGUUGGAAUAAGGGUGAGUCUGAGUAUGGAAAUAAGAUUGCUCCGGUGACAUGGAAGACCAGGUUCAAGUUAUAAGAAAAUACCUCUUUAGAUCUUGGGAUUAGGUUGCAUACAUUAACUCUUUUCAAACCCUGCAUUAGCAGAAGCCUUGUGCACCGGUUUUUUUGGAAUACUAGAAAGCAAGUAGAGGGGCAAGAGUAGCCUUGAUCGGAAGUAAGGGCAUAUUGUUCUUCAAUUAAAAUUUGAACAUACACAUUAUUUCAAGAGCAUCUUCUUUUACAUUUGCAUUUGUUCUAUACUGUGGGCUUGCCAAGAGUUGAAUCAUGAUGAGCUUUCCUGUUACAGAAGGGAUAGAGGUAGUUGGUCUACUAAAUGCCAUACUCCAUAAUUCCAGUAAUUAGAAAUUAUUUUCUUGAUGUUAUUCCCAAGCAGAACUGAUCCUUAGCAUUGAAAUUGAAAUAUUAAUAUGCAUUUACUUUGCUACAAUUAAAUUCUAAGAAAACCUAUGUUGACUAAAUCUCCUUCAAUUGCUCUAAUAUUGCAGGUAGGUCUCUUAGUCCAUGUGGAAACUGGAAAUUAUCUUAUAAAAUUUUAUUUGCCAUGACUUUGCAGUUUGUCAUAUCAUUUUUAACUCACCGGUUCAAAUUAAGUUGAUUGCACAUGCUCAACUUAUUGAUCGUGUACUAUAUUUUCCCAAAACAUUUCAUCCAUUCUCCUUCAACCAAUAGAUUCUUAUACCAAUUUUUGUUCAUUCUUUGAUCAUAGAGUGUGGUUUUAUCUUCUUUAGAUUCGAUAAAAUAGGUAUUCUCUAAUCUCUAUGCUUUAUCCAUUUUUACAUUGCUUUUGCACUUGGAUAAUUUCUUCUUUGCAUUUGGUAAUAAAGAAUAUACUACUCGAUAUACUAGUACUGUAGUGGUCUGAUCAAAUGUUGAAACUUGUAUUGGACCAGUAUUGAAAAUCUUGAUACCGAGUGUAGCAACAAAGAGGAGAUCCAUUAGCAAUCCCAUCUAUAAUCAUUGGGAAUAAAGUUUUUUUAGUCUUUGUUGUCAUUAUUAAUUAAUUAUUUUAAAAGGACAGUCUUUUGCAGUCUGAAUGGAAGUAUAUGCUUGAUUAUAUUGACAGCCUCUCACUGCUCGCUUUUUUCUUCUUCCAUUGCAUGUGAACUGUUUUUGCAUGUUAUAAUUGUUAUGCCUGAUGCCACAUUUUCAAUCAUAUGAUUAGAGUUGAUUCACCUUUGCAGAUUCAUACCAUGGUCCGUGGCCUUUCUGAAGAAGAAUUUGGCCCACAAAUUCAUUUCAGGGAGUACUCGUUCCUGCAGAAUCCAUCAGUGCCCAAACAUGUAAAGAUAUUGUUGUAUCAAUUUGCAAUACUUCGCUGCUCAUACAUAUCUUUCAAUUCAAAUAACUUUUUUUAUUAUGGAUUCAGGUGAAGGAAUCAUUACUUAAUGUUCAACUUUGUGAUGCACAUUCCAAAGGAUGCAAUAUAUCCAAUGAAACAACUAGCCGUGGUUUCAUCCAAUUUCCUAGAAAUAGCACUGAGCAGGUGGUAUGCACAUCUAAUGAUUAAAUUUUUAUUAUUUAAGGGUUUAAGAUCAUAAUAAUGGUGGUAGGAUGAGAUUGUCUAUUCAUUUGGUGAGAGCACAUUUUCUAAUGGUAUCAACUAAGCAAAGUUCAGUCACAAAACUGACCACUCAGUAUUCUAGUCUUGGAACCUUAAACCUUAGACUUUCUAUUGUUGUCCAUAUUCUUUCUAUUGUUGUCCAUAUUCUGUGUUCUUCUUAGGCCUCUUGAUACAAUGCAAGAAAACAGAGCAAAGAACCGGCUUCUCCUUGCAAGCUCUAGAAACAUGUAUUUGUGUUUUUUGUCUUAUAGUUAGUUAAUCAGACAGUCAUGACACAUGAAUCUGAUUAUUUUGUAUUUUUUUUCCGUGAAAUAGGUAAAUGCUUGAAGCAUUUACUGAUGUACUCUAGAAGAGUUCAAAUGCUUUACUAAAUAGUUUGCCAAUUUGUCUUACAGUACAUGCAAGUAUUCUCCCAGUACAAAGAUAUCCAAGUCUUGCACUUUUCAUCCAUGUCAAAUGCGUUCCUAGGGUUCAGUGAUGAGGUAAGCAUUAUCAUAGUUUUUUUGUUGGUGACUAAAAAUUUUAAUUCUAUAUAACUAUUUUGUUCUAGAUGAUAACGUGAUGAGUUGAUUUAGGCAAGGGAAGCAACAUUUAGAAAUCGCGUCAAGAGAUACGUCGGAACAUGGUGUUGCGUGCGGAACCAAAGUCCUAGCCACAUAUACUAUGACAUGUACUGGGAUGAGAAACCAUGAUGGAAAUCUGAACCAUCUCAAACUAUAGAUGAUGAUCAUCCACUUUGAUAAACAGAUUGAAAUAUUAUAUUUUUUUUUGGUAAGUACGAAAUAUUAUAUUUACUUGUCACGAAAGAUCAUCAUCAUCUUAUGACUUUAUACAAACCUCUUGAAAGUGAUACCAUCCUAUAAAUGAGAAUUUUCUGAUAUAUUUUCUUCCCCAAAAGCUUCUCCUCCUUGUAUGGAAUAAAAUUUCAUAGGUUCAGUUUCCUGGUGGAACAAUUUUGAGUGUGCAUUUUCAGCAUUGUGUUUUUAUUUAUUUGUUCUCUCUCUCAGAGAAGUUGACAACUCGAUGUGACACUUUUUUUUGGAACGAUGUGUAUAUUUUAGAUAGACGAGGUUUCUAACAUCCUGUGUUUUGUACUCUCUGUAUAUAUACUAUCAUUCAUUGGUCAUUACAUCCUGCUUUCUCAUGUAAAGACAAUUUUUAACAAUUCAUAUAAAUGAUAUUGUGUCAAAGAAGAGAGACCUUUUUGUAUCUUCAUCAAUCUUAUCUAACACAUUUUUUAGUCAUUAUUAUUAUUAUUAUUAUUAUUAUUAUUAUUAUUAUUAUUAUUUAGUUUCUCAUUUUUUUUAAAGAAAAUUCAUGUGUUGAUUGUUGUUAUAUUUCUUAAUAGAAAUUUAAUUUUUUUAAGAAGAAAAAAAAAAUCCUCCUUUUAGUACUGGAGAAGAAGGGCUCCAUAAUUUAGCAUACCAAUGCUCUAAUACUGAGUCCAGGUAAUGAUCCGAUUCAUCCAUCUCCUAUCACCGGAAGGGCUUAUUAUACGUAUUCUACGAAGUCGGACUCGAGUCAUGUCGCACCGUAAGACACGACUCGAGUCGGGUCAGUAACGCUGCGGCUCGUAGUCACGUGUCUCGUCUAUCGAUGCCUUCCCUUCCUUUGUAUCCGAACAAUCAUAUGGCGAGUGCUUCUCACUCGCUCUUUGGUCUGCUGUUAAGAGGGGUUCGCGACCGCGCGGCUCGUCCGUCGUAUUCCCUCUUUCGGUCGUCGCCUGCCGCUCUCCGCCCCACUUCGUGCCUCCUCGCCCCGAAUCCGAUCCGUCUAUUCCGCGGAACGGUUCAGCCUCGGUCUGAGUCUAGGUCGCAGUCUGAGAUGGAGGAGCUCGUCAGCUACACCUUCGGCCCGUACAAGAUCCACCGUACCGAGGUCUUCCACUCCACCUUGCACUCCUUUGCCAUGGUCAACCUGCGGCCUCUCCUACCGGGUAUGCCUUCCGUUGAUUCCCAUUCUCUCUCAUGUUAUUUUGGAUUGUUGCUACUUAUGAAAUAUUAGGGUUAUGGUCACAAUUGUGGGUAUAGAUUUCGAUAGGUUGUUUAGAGUAAUUUUGGAUGCAUAUCUAUUGAUGCUUCUGUUUAUGCUGAGUUUGGAGAGAUAUAUGAUUACUGUUACUAUUAUCUUCCUUUAUUGUAUUGUUUUUUGUAUGGUUGACGGUCAAUGUGAGGGCUAGCUUAAGCUCUUAUGUUGUGUAAGUCGCUCUUUUGUUUAUGUCUUAGCAAUGUAGGAUUACUUUUAGCCCUAUCUCAAUCUAUAUCUCAAUAUAUCAGGUUUGGUCAUUUCCCCUUCUAUUUUCAAUUUUUGAUUUUAAAUCUUGAUCCUUUCUGGAUCUUUGAUCCUGGUAGGGUCCAUCGACCUAGUCGAUCUUUACUCUACUCAUCUGGAUGUUGAUAAUUUCAAAGGAAUUCAAGUUUGAGUGGGACUAUCUUAAGCCUACCAUACAUGGUGGUUGGACACCAAUACAACCUAAAAACUUAAGUAUAUGACAAUGUGUGUUGCUGAUUCUUCUUUAUCACUUGGCACUUUAGGACUUUUCUAAAUGCUAUCUCAAUCUUAAUCUAUAUUAUCUUGUCUUGUAAUAAUUAAAUCCAUGAUCAUUCCUAGGUCCCAUGCUUGUCCUGUUCAUUCAUAGGUUGCGUUGUUAUUUCCGGUACUCAAUUUCAAUCUAUAAAAUUGCAUCAUUGGACUAAUUUCUCAUGGUCUUGAUUACCCUUGCUACACUACACAUUCCCCUUUGCCUUUCUCCCUUGUCCUUUUAUAGCCAUGAGAUUCUACUUUUGGAAUUACCAAGAAUGCUUACCUUAGGAAUGGAAAAGCAAGUGCAUUCUUUAUAAUACCAAAAUUGGAACUUGCUUUGUCCGGUAUAAUGCAAGUUUCUUUCCUCUUAAGAUCACCUUUUGUGUUAACAAUUCCAAUAUUGUAUCUUCUUCAUCUUUAAAUGCUAACAGAACUGCCAAAGGAUACUUGAGAGUGGGACUUCUAUCUUUCCCAAAUUUCUUAGGUGACUUCAUUUACACAAAGGCACCUAUUGAUGAUUUGGUCCAGGUUAUAAAAUGAUGCAUCAUAAAGAGGGGCAUUCUACUAAGAAAUUCUCUAUUGCAUGCACGAAAAGCUUAUCGUGGACAUUGUUACAUAUAUCAUCUCCAAUAAAUAGGGUGGACGUAGAUAACUUGAAUUUGUAUCAUUACGAAAAGGAAUUUUUGAGAUAAGAACACUUUGAACUGCUUGCAUUUUUGAACCUGCGGCAUACAAGGAAUUUCCCCAUUUGAUGAUUGUUUGAGAGGUUUGAUAUAAAAAUUAAAGUAUGAACAUACAACCUGAUAUUACCUAAAUUUUAUGUAAAUAAAAACUUUUGUGCCUUUACUCAGUUGAAAUUGAUUGCUUGAUUUUUACAACUGAUUGAGCUUUAGGAAAGGUUAGCGACUGCCACUUGAAUCGUACUUUACAUUCCUGGGACUGCUAGUUUAUUAUUGAAGGUUGAUUAUGCUUAUACUAAAAAUGUUUUGUGAAAAACAAAUGCUUUGUGGUACUAGCUUCUCUAACUUGAAGUGCUUUAUCACAUGUUUAUUAAUUCUGUCUUUGACUGAAGCAUAUUGAUCUGAUCAAUUUGAUCAGUUAACCAUAAUUAUUGUUUAACGUUAAAGUUUUUCCCCUUUAAAAGGGUAGGUCUAUGUAGCACAUUCAUUGUAUAGCAAUAGUAUUUACCUUCCAUUCAUGGGCAUACAAAGCAAAUUGUGAGACUCUAUUGUAUAACUAUCUCUUUUAUUAAAGCUUUGCUGCCAUCUUCCCUCAUUUCUGUUGAUUGCUACAUAGAUCUAAUAUACCUUUUCUAAAAUUUUGCAGGUCAUAUCCUUUCGAUGAAGCCACUAAUUCAUCUUAUUGAUAUCAUUUUACUUGAUAUAUGCAUGCGAUAUUCAGUUCCUCUGUUGUGCAUCUAUGUUAAAAUGCACAGAUAUCUUUGGUGGCAUCUUUCUCUCUAUUCACUUCAUCUGUACACUUUUAUUUUGCAUGCAUAAUUUCACCAUAAGUUGAACCUUGACAUUAUCUACAUGUGCUUGUAUGUCCAAGGCGGGAAGUAAAACGUUUUAUUGAUCUCACUGCUGAUGAGGUUUGUGACUUAUGGCUUACUGCCAAGGAAGUUGGUGGUCGUCUUGAGCGUCAUCAUGAAGCAUCUUCACU